AAAAGAAGAAGAAGAAAGAAGAGGAAGAGGAAGAGGAAGAAAAGGAGAGGAGAUGGUAACAGUAACUUUGGAAGCCUUAGGUGUGGAACUUGACUAUGUUCUGUGGGAUGAGUAGAAGUCAGCUGUUGGUGGGGUUGGGGACACAUUCAGAGGAGGAGGAACAACUUGCUGGAGUCACGGAAGCCAGGAAGGGUCCUGGCCUGGUGCCAGCUGUGCACCUUUCAAGUUUAGGGACAUGCUCCAGCAUGUGUUUUCUCUUCAUGACCCUUCAGAAGACUCCCUCCAUAAUUUACCCAUUUCCUCUCCAAACCCAUGUGCAUCCACACAACCUGUGCUAUGUCCUCACCUCUGUGUUCCCAGGGCUUUGAGGGGCCCCUUGUAAUCUUUUGCACUGAUUACAUCUAUUUAGAGAUGGGAGAUGCCUUGGUGGCAACAUCCCCAGCAGAGUUCAGGAUCUGAGGACUUCUUUGAUUCUCUUUUCUUACCCAGUUACAUUUGUUCCAAUCCACAUUUCUACUGAUCCUUGCUGAUUGGCUGGGAAAGAAAGGGGAAGAGGAAGGAGAAGAAGGAAAAAGAAAGAAGAUCGGAUUGUUGAUCUCCUUAGGAUGGGGAGCAUGGAAAUGCUUAUAAUUUCAUCUUGGCUGUCAACUUCACUGUGGAAAAUGGAUGGAAACCUGAAGGUUGUGAAGCCUUUGUAAAAGCAAGGAUGGAAGGGGAGAGAAGCCACCAUAUCCAUGGAGGUGGAGAGAUGAAGUUCUUCAGGAUCGACAGAAAAGGAUGAAAAGCCCUGGAAAUUAUAAUUUUACAGCCUUUGAUCACCUGCUACGUAUCAGGCACCAUUCUAAGUGCUGGAGAUGCAGUGUGAACAAGACAAAGUCCCUGACCCCACCGAGCAGAUGUGCUGAGGGUGAUAAACAAACAUGAAUCCAGAGAAGAAAACCAGGCCAGCAGGUCAGAGUGAUCUGGAAGUCUGGGAAGAUCUUGCGAUUGAUGAGAAGGGACAGCAGGAGCAGAGGCCAGGAGGUGGGCAGAAUGAAGGCAGUGUGGCACCAGAAGUGGGCAGCAAAGGAGAAGAAGCACAGCUGUGCCAGGUAAGUCUCCUGGGCUGGAUUCCGGGGGAAGGUAGAAACAAGGGCGUGGCAGAGUCUCCCUUGAGAUCUAAAAGAUGACUCUGGCUGCUGUGUGAAGAAUAGCCUGGAGCAGUGACAAGAAAACAAACAAACAAAAUGAAACAAAGGGCUAUGAGAGAGGAGCCCUGGAUUCCUCAGGGUGCUGUGUGAGAUCUCAGCUACUUCUUCGCUUAGGCUCUCUUCUGGCUGUCUGUCUGUAAAAUGCCGAGAGUGGGCUCUAUGCCACUUUAGUUAUAGAGACAUAGAGUCAGUGCUAGAUCAUUUAGAAAAGCUACCCUUAGAGAACAAGGGCUCUAUGAAAGC